rnacentral:rRNA from 1 species
CCUACGGGAGGCAGCAGUGAGGAAUAUUGGUCAAUGGGCUUACGCCUGAACCAGCCAAGUCGCGUGAGGGAAGACUGCCCUAUGGGUUGUAAACCUCUUUUGUCAGGGAGCAACGCCGGCUACGUGUAGCCGGACUGAGAGUACCUGAAGAAAAAGCAUCGGCUAACUCCGUGCCAGCAGCCGCGGUAAUACGGAGGAUGCGAGCGUUAUCAGGAUUUAUUGGGUUUAAAGGGUGCGUAGGCGGAAUGCCAAGUCAGCGGUAAAAUCGCGGGGCUCAACCUCGCUCCGCCGUUGAAACUGGCGGUCUUGAGUGGGCGAGAAGUAUGCGGAAUGCGUGGUGUAGCGGUGAAAUGCAUAGAUAUCACGCAGAACUCCGAUUGCGAAGGCAGCAUACCGGCGCCCAACUGACGCUGAAGCACGAAAGCGUGGGUAUCGAACAGGAUUAGAUACCCCUGUAGUC